GCGGCGAAAGGGUGAGUAACACGUAACUAACGUACCCCCCAGAUCGGGAUAGCCACUGGAAACGGUGGGUAAUACCGAAUGGUCCUCGGAGUGGCAUCACUCCAAUGGUAAACGGUGGCUUCGGCUGCUGCUGGAGGAGCGGGUUGCGGACUAUCAGCUUGUUGGUGAGGUAACGGCUCACCAAGGCUAUGACGGGCAGCGGGUCUGAGAGGAUGAUCCGUCACACUGGGACUGAGACACUGCCCAGACUCCUACGGGAGGCUGCAGUCGAGAAUCUUCCACAAUGGGCGAAAGCCUGAUGGAGCGACGCUGCGUGCAGGAUGAAGGCCUUAGGGUUGUAAACUGCUGUCACGCUAUAGGAAACUGCAGGGGUGAAUAGUCUCUGCACUGACCACAGCGAAAGGAAGUGCCGGCUAACUCCGUGCCAGCAGCCGCGGUAAGACGGAGGGCGCAAGCGUUGUUCGGAAUCACUGGGCAUAAAGGGCGCGUAGGCGGCCAGUUCAGUCGGAUGUGAAAUCCCCCGGCCCAACCGGGGAACUGCAUUCGAUACUGACUGGCUAGAGGAUGGUAGGAGCCAAUGGAACUCCAGGUGGAACGGUGAAAUGUGUAGAUAUCUGGAGGAACACCGGUGGCGAAAGCGAUUGGCUGGGCCAUUUCUGACGCUGAGGCGCGAAAGCUAGGGGAGCGAACGGGAUUAGAUACCCCGGUAGUCCUAGCCGUAAACGAUGGGUACUGGG
rnacentral:rRNA from 1 species